CCCACCAUGCAUGUCUGAGCUAGACCCACCGGGCAUUCUAAACCCACAUUCCCUCUGAUAUUGUUCAUGUAAACUCAAUCUUGUGGCCAUGUCCAGCUCAUUAUUAUAUUGCUCUUCUAGGUCAUUAUUAUAUUGCUCUUCUGUAUCAUUCCUGCUUGAUGGUGUAUAUAAACUAGCUAUCUCCUCAUUCAUCCUAUGUUUG
rnacentral:lncRNA from 1 species